ACUAUAUUACGGGGGGCCGGACCCAGGGUACAGCGUACUCCGCUUGCCUUGACCUGCCCUGUCUGAAUAUUCUACCCAUGUCUUUUGCGUACUAUUUGUUUCCUUGGUGGGCUUGCCUGCCAUUAGGACACCAAUAAAACCUUUUUGUAAUUGCAAUCAGCGUCAGAAAUAAUUUUAAUAAUUA
rnacentral:misc_RNA from 1 species